UCUACUCUUAUGUAGUUAAUAAAAAAAUAAAUAAAAAAUUCUGCUCUGAAAAAAAUGAAGUGACGGCAAGUAAAUAUCGUACAGCUAUUGAGUCCAAGUGAAGAACCUCAUCAUCAAAUGUGACUGAUGUCAAAAUAUGACUUGGAGACGAACAAACUUCAUUUUCUUAUCACAUAGGCCACUUCAGCAAAUCACCAGAUGAACAAAUAUUGUGCAUGGUCAGGCUCACACAUUCGGUGUUUUGGAGACAGAGAGAGCAGACUUGGAUGGUUUGGACACAUCCAGAGGAGAGAGAGUGAGUUUAUCGCUCGAAGGGUGAUGAGGAGGGAGCUGCCGGGCAAGAGAAAUAAAAGAAGACCAGAGAAAAGGUUUAUAGAUGUUGUGAGGGAAGACACGAGGGCAGUUGGCGUUAGAGAGGAGGAUGCAGGAGAUAGGCUCUCACAUUAGAUCUUCUAACAUCUCGGACAUCCUAUAUCAGAUGCUGAAGCCACGUGAGUGUCCCGUUCUCUACAGGUGCGGGGCUGUGACCUCUGGGCAUGACCCUCAAACAUCUCAGACACCCGAUGUCACGUGCUGAAGCCACCUGUCUUGCCAAAAUCCGUGGAACCCACCAUCGACGCGGGGCGAGGCCGAAGGAACAUAUUCACAGGUGUCCCCGAACAUGAUGUCAUGCGACAAAAAACGCGAGGGACCAUGAUGUCACUUUGUUUUCACCGGCUGUGACGACAUUUUGUUUUCACCAGAUCUGACGUCAAUGGGGACAAGGUGGCCCGAGAGGCGACGUCAUCGGACACGUCCGCUGGCAGCGUGCCAAGUGAUGACAUCAUCGGCAAUCCACCAUUUUGUCAUAAAGCCAAUAUUGCCUCUCUCUCUCUCUCGUAUUGAAGAAUUGACAAUAAAAGCACCUUGACCACCUUGACCUUGAUGGUUGCUAAUUUUGUCCAGUGGAGGGAGCACGGAUGACCACUUAACUGACCAUUUACCACUCAAAUGAUGUUCUGCAAUUGGCUGUUUCUCAGGAUUUGACGUUUCAUCUCGAUGCACUUGUGAAAGCAUGAAGAUGCCAUGUUUCAGGAGCAAAGUAGGCCUGCUUUAGAUAAAAUGCACCUCUGCGCUGUGAAGAAGUUCUGUGAAAAUGAAUACCCGCUGUAGAAAUAUUUUACGAGACUGAGAAUGCCAAAAUAUGUCAAUAGCUUCGAUUCAAAAGAGUUUGGGUUGGUGGAAAAAUAUUUUCAUGCACUACCACAACUUGAAUGUGUUCUUACAUUUCAAAGGCAGGGGUACAACUGAGACCCUCACUUUGAAAAGUUCCCACUUUAGUUAGUAUGUUGUGAUGAGUCAUUUGAGGUUGUCGAGAUUUCCAGAUGGAUGUACUCGGAAAGUCGGAGACUUCCACUUCCCCCCGAGCUGGCUUUCAAAGAUGGCUGCCGCGAGUA